rfam:Oryza glumipatula chromosome 12, whole genome shotgun sequence.
UUUAAGUGCAACCAUAAGUUUUCAUGCCUAAUUUUGAUCGUCUAUCUUAUUUGAAAUUUUUUUUAUAAUUAGUAUUUUUAUUGUUAUGAGAUGAUAAAACAUAAAUAGUACUUUAUGCGUGUCUUAUGUUUUUAAUUUUUUUUUAAAAAAAUUUCAAAUAAGACGAAUGAUUAAAGUUGGACUCGAAAAAUUAUGGCUGCACUCAAA